CCAAUGUUCAGGUUGGGCAUGAGUUGGGUGGGUUAACCCAACCAAAUCCCACCCCUAGUAAUCAAGUCAACAACGUUUCUCUAUGGAUUGUUCUUCAUAAAGUUGGAUUACAUGGGCUAAUUCAUCGCAACAGCUUAAAGGAGGAAGAGCUUUAAUAACAAUUAACAAACAAGAAAGAAAGAAAAACAAAAUCUUUUCCAGUAAGAUCAGCUCAUAGUGUGAUUAAUGGUUACUGAUCAUCUAUAUGAUGGAGAUCGCGUGGCUGUUGGGGAUCGUUCUCAGCUUGUUGUCCUAAGGCGGCGAAGAGGUCGUGCACUUGUCUAACACAUACACUAAGGAAAAUAAAUUCAUUAACCAACCCACCUACAACGGAUGAUGGUGAUGUUGACGCCGAUAUUGAUGAUAAGACAUCAUUCUUCACCGCAACUUGUUCAGUAUGAAUCGGUCGAGUUUCAGAUCUUAUAGCUGCUGUUAAUAUCAAAACUAAGAAUAACAAGGUACACUUGAUCACUCUAGUAGCUGCCAUAAUUAAUCAACUAGUAACUCUGUAGCUAACAAAUUAGAAGUAUCAACUCUUUCUCUUUCGAAAAACUUGUUGUGAGUUAUGGUUUGGAUGAUCGAACUCUAUCUAUAUAUAGCCAUUUACAAAACAUUAUUUUAUUAACUUUUCUUUUUCUGUUAAAAAAUUUCAUAUUAAAUUGCUCUGUUAGCAUCCAUAUUAUAAGAAAUUAUACUAUAAGAAAUUAUUAGUAGUAUAAGUCUAUAUAAGUGGAUUAUUUACUCAAAAUUUGAGAAUAUAUGUGAGAGGGAUGUUCCACUUCGAAACUCUAAUCGCACAGGGGGAUGUUUGUUCGUAUUUUAAGAAUAUAUUGCACUUGGUCAUGUUCGGAAGGUUAGGAGUUGAUGAAAUUUGCUUUCAACAACAAAAUCAGCACCAAGGACCAAAUUAUCAUUCAAGUCAAGCUUCAGGCAUACAUCUGGUGCAGCAAUGUGGAAGCUCUGAGAGGUGUUAACCCGGGUCAUGUUAUCUGUAUCCGCAAUUUGGCAUAGCAUGAUGUAAUUGGUUUCGUUUUUCUCUUUACUUCUCUGUGAGGAUGCACUAAUCAGCUUAUUCGUCGUCGUUGUUCCUUUUCCUACCUUUGGUAGGCUAUCAAUUAAUAUAUUUGCCGAUCGAAA